GCCCGCCUAGCUCAAUCGGAUAGAGCGUCAGACUCUUAUCAUUACUGGCUAGUGCGGAAUCUGAAGGCUGCGAGUUCGACCCUCGCGGUGGGCU
rfam:Punctularia strigosozonata HHB-11173 SS5 unplaced genomic scaffold PTNSTscaffold_1, whole genome shotgun sequence.